UUUAACUAAAUACUAAAUCACACACGUAUCGACACAUUCUUCGGGGUGCUCUUAGUGCGCUAUUUUAGCAAGCAAGAGUCGAAGGUAUGGGAUUCGUGGAGGUCUAAC
rnacentral:sRNA from 1 species